rnacentral:rRNA from 1 species
GAUGAACGCUGGCGGCGUGCCUAAUACAUGCAAGUAGAGCGAACAGACGAGGAGCUUGCUCCUCUGACGUUAGCGGCGGACGGGUGAGUAACACGUGGGUAACCUACCUAUAAGACUGGGAUAACUUCGGGAAACCGGAGCUAAUACCGGAUAACAUAUUGAACCGCAUGGUUCAAUAGUGAAAGACGGUUUUGCUGUCAUUUAUAGAUGGAUCCGCGCCGCAUUAGCUAGUUGGUAAGGUAAGGGCUUACCAAGGGAACGAUGCGUAGCCGACCUGAGAGGGUGAUCGGCCACACUGGAACUGAGACACGGCCCAGACUCCUACGGGAGGCAGCAGUAGGGAAUCUGCCGCAAUGGGCGAAAGCCUGACGGAGCAACGCCGCGUGAGUGAUGAAGGUCUUCGGAUCGUAAAACUCUGUUAUUAGGGAAGAACAAAUGUGUAAGUAACGAUGCACGUCUGGACGGUACCUAAGCAGAAAGCCACGGCUAACUACGU